rnacentral:rRNA from 1 species
GAUGAACGCUGGCGGCGUGCCUAAUACAUGCAAGUCGAGCGAACGGACGAGAAGCUUGCUUUUCUGAUGUUAGCGGCGGACGGGUGAGUAACACGUGGAUAACCUACCUAUAAGACUGGGAUAACUUCGGGAAACCGGAGCUAAUACCGGAUAAUAUUUUGAACCGCAUGGUUCAAAAGUGAAAGACGGUCUUGCUGUCACUUAUAGAUGGAUCCGCGCUGCAUUAGCUAGUUGGUAAGGUAACGGCUUACCAAGGCAACGAUGCAUAGCCGACCUGAGAGGGUGAUCGGCCACACUGGAACUGAGACACGGUCCAGACUCCUACGGGAGGCAGCAGUAGGGAAUCUUCCGCAAUGGGCGAAAGCCUGACGGAGCAACGCCGCGUGAGUGAUGAAGGUCUUCGGAUCGUAAAACUCUGUUAUUAGGGAAGAACAUAUGUGUAAGUAACUGUGCACAUCUUGACGGUACCUAAUCAGAAAGCCACGGCUAACUACGUGCCAGCAGCCGCGGUAAUACGUAGGUGGCAAGCGUUAUCCGGAAUUAUUGGGCGUAAAGCGCGCGUAGGCGGUUUUUUAAGUCUGAUGUGAAAGCCCACGGCUCAACCGUGGAGGGUCAUUGGAAACUGGAAAACUUGAGUGCAGAAGAGGAAAGUGGAAUUCCAUGUGUAGCGGUGAAAUGCGCAGAGAUGUGGAGGAACACCAGUGGCGAAGGCGACUUUCUGGUCUGUAACUGACGCUGAUGUGCGAAAGCGUGGGGAUCAAACAGGAUUAGAUACCCUGGUAGUCCACGCCGUAAACGAUGAGUGCUAAGUGUUAGGGGGUUUCCGCCCCUUAGUGCUGCAGCUAACGCAUUAAGCACUCCGCCUGGGGAGUACGACCGCAAGGUUGAAACUCAAAGGAAUUGACGGGGGCCCGCACAAGCGGUGGAGCAUGUGGUUUAAUUCGAAGCAACGCGAAGAACCUUACCAAAUCUUGACAUCCUUUGACAACUCUAGAGAUAGAGCCUUCCCCUUCGGGGGACAAAGUGACAGGUGGUGCAUGGUUGUCGUCAGCUCGUGUCGUGAGAUGUUGGGUUAAGUCCCGCAACGAGCGCAACCCUUAAGCUUAGUUGCCAUCAUUAAGUUGGGCACUCUAAGUUGACUGCCGGUGACAAACCGGAGGAAGGUGGGGAUGACGCCAAAUCAUCAUGCCCCUUAUGAUUUGGGCUACACACGUGCUACAAUGGACAAUACAAAGGGCAGCGAAACCGCGAGGUCAAGCAAAUCCCAUAAAGUUGUUCUCAGUUCGGAUUGUAGUCUGCAACUCGACUACAUGAAGCUGGAAUCGCUAGUAAUCGUAGAUCAGCAUGCUACGGUGAAUACGUUCCCGGGUCU